AAGUGGGGUCUUGGAUCCAGAAGGCAGUGCAUCUGGAGAUGUUGUUACAUCAGUUAAAAGGCAAGUAAAAAAGCCUUGGAUCCAGUUGCUCCAGUUUAUAAGUACUGCCUUGUAUCAGUAUCUAACAUAUUUACUUCAACAUGCCAAAAUGAGGGUGUGACUAUCAACACAAAUGCCUGGACUGAUGCUAGACAUUCUGUGAAUCAAAUCUAUGACAUCCUUUACAUGAUGGGGCGCGAUGAUAUCGCUGUUAGAGUUGGCGGCGAAGGUGGAAUACUAAAAGAUGGUACCAUUCUUCCUAAUGUUGGUGGAUAUCUUCCCAUAAUAGAACAGGCAUGAGCUCAUUGAUUGCCUUCUACAUGUUUGAUUUUUGUUUUUCCUCAUAAAAAAACUUAGUACAUUGCCAUAACAUGUAUAUCAUACAA